rnacentral:rRNA from 1 species
UACGUAGGUGGCAAGCGUUGUCCGGAUUUACUGGGCGUAAAGAGCGCGCAGGCGGUCGGAUAAGUCGAAUGUGAAAGCCCCUGGCUCAACCAGGGAGGGUCAUUCGAUACUGUUCGACUCGAAGGCAGGAGAGGGAAGUGGAAUUCCGGGUGUAGUGGUGAAAUGCGUAGAUAUCCGGAGGAACACCAGUGGCGAAGGCGACUUACUGGACACAUAUUGACGCUGAGGUGCGAAAGCGUGGGGAGCAAACAGG